rnacentral:lncRNA from 1 species
AGUGAUCCAUGAGAAAAUUAUUACCUGUAAAAGCAUAGAUGCAGAGCUGAAGAAGAAGAAGAGGACAAAAACAAAGACAAAUUGCACAAAUAGAGGCAAGUCAUAAGAAAGAACCUUGCCAAUCUUACAACAGAAAGUAGCAGUGAUCAAUGACAAAAGUAUUACAUGUAAAAGCGCAGUCCCAGAGCUGACUAAGAAGAAGAGGACAAUCUCUAGAAAAAGACACGAGGCAUAAGAGAGAAGUAGAGAAAAAAAACAAAAAUAGAGGAAAUCAAAGGCGAGUGAAAAGUAAAUCACAGUAGAAGAAAAAACGAGGAACGUAUUACCUGAACAAACAACGAAACAUAGAGAAAGAAGGUGACAUGAGAAGGAAAGAGGGAAAUUCAAAGAAGCGACUUGGAAUACCUAAAUGUCCGAUAUGCAGAUGAAACCUCCAAAAAAGAUGUCACGUAUGUCACAAGAAGCGUCAGAAAUCUAUGGUUACAAGUUUGACAUUUUUCAUUGCAAUCAUGCAACAACGCCACCUUAGAUAAUACACUGAAAUUUCAAUGUUAUAAGAGGAGUUUAAGACAAAAUAACAACUUACAUGGAGGGAAAUAAAUCAAUCAGAUUAUCAUACAGAAAUCGAGAUAAUUAACAAAAAAAAUGUAAAGUAGAUGAUGAAGAUCGAAGAAAGUACCUAUUGAGACAUAGACUGAUGAGUGAUAAUGUAAUCAUGGUGAAUAAAAUACAAUCCAUGCGUAGGGCCGGUCCAACACAAUUUUAGGCCCAAGGCAAAAUAAAAAAAUGGGGCCUUUCAUUAUAUAUAUAUAUAUAUAUAAUCUUUUUUUCUAUAAAAAAGGUGGCAUCUCUGGAGAAUUUUAUUAAUUAGAAAAGAAUAAUACAAUUAAAAGGGACUCCCCAACUAUUGAAAGGAAAAAUCUUUGAACGUACCCGAAAGCCAAAUAAACUAACAACUAGUAAUACAAAACAACAAAAUAAAAAAGCAUAUUAAUGGAACUCCAAUACAUAUACAUAGCAAACAAAAAACUAAAGAAUGUUAAGUUUUCAAGCUUUUGUAGAUACAAAGUUAUCAGCUAUAGCAUCAUGUUUAAUAUUAUCUAACAAAUAUUUUUCAAUGCAUAUAUAUACCUAUUGUUGGCUGCAUGUGAUGUUGUAAGUAACCUCUAAGAAAU